rnacentral:rRNA from 1 species
UACGGGGGGAGCAAGCGUUGUUCGGAUUUACUGGGCGUAAAGGGCGCGUAGGCGGCCUGGCAAGUGGAAGGUGAAAUCCCUCGGCUUAACCGAGGAACUGCCUUCCAAACUGCUUGGCUUGAGUCCGGGAGAGGUGAGUGGAAUUCCCAGUGUAGCGGUGAAAUGCGUAGAUAUUGGGAGGAACACCAGUGGCGAAGGCGGCUCACUGGACCGGAACUGACGCUGAUGCGCGAAAGCGUGGGGAGCAAACGGG